CCCUGUGCGUCAGCCCCGCGCGGCCCGGCUUGGGAGCGUGUUCCCUAGCUCCGGACAUGGCGAGGUGGGAAUGGAGAUGGAUUUACAGCAUUCGCGGACUCCCUAGUUGCCAGCAACGUUUCUCCAUGGAAACUGACGGCUGGCGUCGGAGGCAUUAGUCACCCACCCCCUCCUUGUACCCUCUGCGCACAGAAAGUGUCACUCAGCGUCAGCCACCAGAAACAAUGAGCCAAUGGCGUCUCGCCUCCGCCCUCCCCUCUCAUCUCCUCAUUAGCAAGAUCGGGCUCCUCAUAGAAGACAGGUUUCCCUUCUUCGGGGAGUUUAGAGUUGGGGACACAAUCUGAUCCAAUUUCUUCAUUAUAAAGAGAAAAAACAGACGUGGAGAGAAACGAUUUGCCCUAGGUCACAUAAAGAGACCGGGGAGAAGCUGUAUGACUCAUGGAUUCCCUGGGGGAAAAACACUGGUGUGAGGAGUCAGAAGACUUGAGUUCGAGGCUUUCCCGCUUGCUCUAAGCUACCACGAUGCAUUGCACAAAGAGGUGCUUAACAAAUGAUUACUGAAUGAAAUAACAACCUUGGCAACAUGGAAAAGAUGAGGAAACAAGACUCCAGAAGCAAAAGGAACUGCUCCAAAUCCUAAGUGGCAGAGCUCUUUACAGGCUAUAACUUUAGGAUUCUAAAAUCUGGAAAACCAUUGCCCUCCACAAUGGAAGGUUAUUUAAGAAGGCAUGGGAGUGACUGCUAAAGAAGAAAAUCCCAUACAACACUUGAUAAAGUUGGUGCUGGUGUUGGUUCUGGCUCUGCUCCCAGGCAUCUUUACCACAAGCUUCCCAACUCCCUCAAAAUAAGAACAGUUGAUUCCUCAGCAACAGAACAGGGAAUCAAGAGUUCACAGCUGAAGACCUUUGUAUUAUUCUGGUUCCUUUCACCAGACAAUCUUAAAGUAUGAUUACUGCCCAGAAAAUAGUCUCCCCAGAGUAAGGGGUAUCUGGAGAAAAAAGUCAAAUUGUUUUUCUCCUCUUUCCUCAUUCUCUUUAGGUGCACUUGAGGUAAAAGAGGAAGCCUCAGAGCCUCUAAGGGCCACAUGCUGCCUCAGCAUAGGCAAACACACCUGUUUUGCAGAUUUUGAUGAUGGCUAAAUGUACCAAGGGAGAAAAUAAUGAGAAAAGGCCACUAUUAAGCAUGCGUUGCCUAACCUGGAUGGGGAGUCAGAAGCCCUGGGCUUUAGCUUCAUUAUGGGCAUGGGAAAAUAUCCAAAGGGAGGUGGAUUGUGACCUGACUUUAAAGAAUAAAUGUUAAGUGGAGGCUAGGUGGGAAGAAAGCAAAAAGCAAAGGUGCUUUCAGGGGAUGGUAAACAGAACAGCCUGGCUUGGGAAGAGGUUUCAUGUUACAAAGCAGGGGGCCAUAGAUUUUAACUAAGACUGAAUCACAGGGUUUGGACAAGGUUGGAAAGUUGUGAACAGUGCUAGUUCAAAGAGCUGUAAACUAUAAAUCUGGGGAGCUGGUUUCUGCCACUGACACUGGAUAAACUCAGCUAAACCACUUCCCCUUCUCUAGGCAUUAGUGUCUCCACUAACAAGGGGAGAGUGCUAGUCCCAAGAGUUCCUGCUAAAGUGGGAUAGAAAAGCUCUUGCAAAGCUUUAGACCAAACUCCCUAGCUCCAGUUUUUCUAGCUUUGAUCGAAGUUAUUCAAACUCAACAGCAUGAGUGUUAAGGUUAAUGUCAGGUCACAAUUAUAGGAUUCUGGCUGAAUAAUCAUAAAAGGACCCUGUAUUAUCCAGUGUUAGUCCAAUCUUCAAACUCAUUUUACAGUUAAGGAAACUGUAGCUCACAAAUCUGCCUACGAUUUUUGGAGGAGUGAAAUAUUUUUGAAUUGUACUAGUAGCCACAUGUAAAUUUUAGUUUAUUUUACUUAGUUUUAUUUCUUAAUUUUAGUCUAGAGAGUAAGUCUAGUCCCUAAAAGGGGGAAAAAAAAAAAAGCUAGCUAGUUGCUAGUUUGGGUGUGGUUUAUUCAUAGUCCUCUACAUUCAGGAUAGCUGCCUGCCCCACAUUAACCUUGGCUCAUUAGAACCAGUCAUCCCAACUGGUUACUAACAACAAAGAAUUCUUCACUUGUGACCAUUGGUUCUUUUUCUGCUUGGUGCAAGCUGGAUUUUUCUGGUAAGAUGUUGAUAAAAUCUGCCAAAAUCUGAAAGCACUACACACCCAUUUGCAGUCUUGGACUUGCCUCCUAGGACAUGUCUUGGACAUGUUAAGAACAUCUUGAUGCAAAUGCAGGAACAAUUGGAGGCCAGUUUGAUUUACCAUUUUCCAAAUGAGUGAAAAAAAAAUAAAUACAAAGUGAGGCAAAAAUCAGCUAUCCAUGUGACUUCCUAUUUAAGUAGAAAAGUGGAUGCUCAAGAUGCCUGCAACAAUUCUCAUGAAAGUCUCUGUCCUUACCUCAAACACAUAUAUAAUGAUGCUGAAAGAUUUGGCAAAAACUUCCCACAGUUUUGAAGAAUUGAAGUUAUGGCUUAUACGCAGGACAAUGGAAAGGUGCUUCACAGAUAUAGACUAUAACACAUUACCAACCAAAAAAAUGAGCAAAAGUGGAGUAAAGAUUAUCAUUGGAAAGAUGUACGAUUGUAAAAGAAGGUGGGCAGAGUGGUAGCUCCAUAGUUAUCCAUGAAAUGUCAAGAGAUUGAGAAGAACUGGAUUUCUAAGGUCUCUUUCAGCUCUAGAGUUAUAGAUAAUCCUAUGGUCUAAAGGUGGGCUCCUAUGAGACUGGAUGGUUACCUUGUGGAAGACUCAGGGCAGGAUAUGGCCAAUAUUAUUAUGGAAUGAGAAGGCAUGGAUGGCUUGUAAUCUGGACUCACUGGAAGGAUGAGAUUAGACAUCCAUGAAAGUAUUUCCUUGAGUAGCACGUAGUAGACAUUUCAUAGUUAUUAAAUAAAUUCCAACCAAUUUAUAUUGUACAAUACCAUAAAAGAGAUCUUAAAAAGAAACUUCUGU